rnacentral:tRNA from 1 species
GAGGGUGUAGCUCAGUGGUAGAGCACAUGCUUAGCAUGCACAAGGUCCUGGGUUCAAUCCCCAGUUCCUGCU